rnacentral:rRNA from 1 species
UUUUGCUAAGUAACCCUUUGUAUGCUUGGAAGUGAAGCAGAGUUGAGCCUGGUUAAUUCUUGGCUUGGAGAUUUCCAGAGAAUCCCAGGAUUGCAAGGC